rnacentral:precursor_RNA from 1 species
GACCACCGAGUUCAGUUUCCAGAAGCUUCGUACGUAGCUUUCUCCACGUUUUAGAUAGUGUUAUGUAUUUAUUUCUUACCUAUAGAAACCUGUCAGCUAAGAUCCGGACUACAACAAAGCACGUCUACUCUACUAUAUUCUUUUGCGAUAAUCAAUAGAUUCUUCUAACAUCGUAAAGGAAGACAAAAGAGUAUACAUACUUAGUUGUCGUCGUAUCUUUGUUGAGAAGUUUCUAAAUGGCACAUAGAAAGUACAUAAAACUAUAUGAAACCAAGGAGAAAUCAAUGAAACUUUUAGAGACUGAAUGAUGUUGUUAUCUUAGUUGUCUUCCACUAGAGAUGCAUAAUGGAAUCGUUAAUAAAAUUUGCCCCGCACAAAACGAAGGAUUAUUGCUCUUAUGCUUUAAACAUGUAUAUAAUAUUACACUACCUUUUAAGAUGCGAGGUAAGCUAAAUAAAUACUAGUGAUUAAGAAAUAUUACAACUGUCUUCUUCUUGCGUUGCUACUUGAUUCGACCACAUGAUCGCUACAAGGAUGUUCACUCAAUCUAUUUGUUGAUGACGAAGUAUCUUCCUCACCAGAUGAUGGGGUCAUCAAGUCAGCAUCAACCAAGGAUCAUGGAGGAGGCACCAAUAAGUCGACCAAGAUCCACGAGAGAACCAACCUAAGCAUACCAAAUACAUAUGUGCCUUUCAAGAAGCAUACCAGCCCAACCCGAAGAAUUUAAGCUACAAAUCAACUUAUUCCAAAAACUUAACUCAUCAAGGAAUCACGGAGAAGUGGAAUUGGUUCAAAAAUCUUUUCAGAUGAAGAUGAUAUUAAAGUUACAAAUCAGCAGAUUUCCAAAGAACCCGAUGGAGACCAACAGCUACGUAUUAGAGGAUUUCGACCUGACCAGAAGGAGUUAACCUACAAAGUUAAUUCUCAGAUAUUCUUGACUCAUAAGAUGUAGAAACUAGAGAAGAGUUUGGGGGAAAACUCUUUCUUAUGUCUUGUUGAUCUCAAUAGCAUUGAUACAAUGUAUAUAUAUGCAAUUUAGAAUAUGUUUUUCCUAAUUUGAAUAAGAAAUAGAUAAACAUGAAUAAGUAUAUAUAUAUUUCCUAUUUAGAAUAUUUAUUUAUUCAAAUUAGGUGAAACAUAAUCUAGGUUGUAUAUAUAUAUGUUAUACCAAUGCGAUUGAGAGCAACAAGACAUAAUAAAGAGUUUUCGAAAACUUUUUUCUAGUUUCUACAUAAGAGGAGAUCUGACAACUGGAAUAAAGUCAAAACCACGUUUGGUUUAGGAGAUAUUAAUUUUCUAAACCCGAGGAAUCCUACACUUGCCUUAUCUGGAAGCUGACGGG